GGGGCAGUAGCUCAGUGGUAGAGCUCCCGCUUCACACGCGGAAGACCUGGGUUGGAUUCCGGGCUGAUUUC
rnacentral:tRNA from 1 species